UACAGAGGUGGCAAGCGUUGUUCGGAAUUACUGGGCGUAAAGGGCGCGUAGGCGGCCUUGUAAGUCCCGUGUGAAAGCCCCCGGCUCAACUGGGGAAUUGCACGGGAAACUGCGGGGCUUGAGUUCGGGAGAGGGAAGCGGAAUUCCGGGUGUAGCGGUGAAAUGCGUAGAUAUCCGGAGGAACACCGGUGGCGAAGGCGGCAUCCUGGACCAACACUGACGCUGAGGAGCGAAAGCCAGGGGAGCAAACGGG
rnacentral:rRNA from 1 species